rnacentral:rRNA from 1 species
AUCUCUGUAGAGUCUGCAUAUCAAUAAGCGGAGGAAAAGAAACUAACAAGGAUUCCCUUAGUAACGGCGAGUGAAGCGGGAAGAGCUCAAAUUUGAAAUCUUCAAGGUUCUACCUUGACGAAUUGUAGUUUAAAGAAGUGUUUUCUGUUAGAUGAGUAGCAAAAGUUCCUUGGAAUGGGACAUCAUAGAGGGUGAGAAUCCCGUAUUUGGUUAUUCAUUCUAGCUUUGUGAUACACUUUCAAAGAGUCGGAUUGUUUGGGAAUGCAGUCCAAAAUGGGUGGUAAAUUUCAUCUAAAGCUAAAUAUUGGCGAGAGACCGAUAGCGAACAAGUACCGUGAGGGAAAGAUGAAAAGAACUUUGAAAAGAGAGUUAAACAGUACGUGAAAUUGUCAAAAGGGAAGCGUUUGACACCAGUGUUGUUUUUCCGAAAAUCAAUUACGAAUGGCUUGAUUUUGUGUUGUAUUGACCUUAUCAGCUUUCUUCACUUUUUUCGAGUCUUUCUUAAUGCACUUUUCGGUUAACAAGUCAACAUCAAUUUCUUUUGUUGUAAAAGAGUAUUCGGAAGGUGGCUUUCUUUUCGGAGAAAGUGUUUAUAGCCCUAUACUUCUACAAUCGGAGAGAUUGAGGUCUGCAGCGUAGAUCCUUCGGGGUUAGAUACACUUGUGCUAAGUUGUAGCUUUUCAUAGACAACUUGUUGACUAUGUUUAGUCAUGCGGCUUACUCGCUUGUGCUAUUUUACCUACGCUUAGGAUGUUGAACUACUGAGACAUAGA